rnacentral:misc_RNA from 1 species
UCGGCGUUUUGCGCCGCUGUCCCGCCAGAGAGUGUAACUGGCGGCGGGGGUUGCGCUCGUUGCGGGACUUAACCCAACACCUCACGGCACGAGCUGACGACAGCCAUGCAGCACCUGGGCUGGCUCCCUUGCGGGUCCCCCUCCCUUUCAGGCGAGUACCACCAGUCCUUUGAGCCCGGGUAAGGUUCUGCGCUUAGCAUCGAAUUAAACCACACGCUCCACCGCUUGUGCGGGCCCCCGUCAAUUCCUUUGAGUUUGAGUCUUGCGACCGUAGUCCCCAGGCGGAACCCUUAAAGCGUAAGCGUCGGCACGGGAGGGGUCGGUACCCCCCAUACCUAGGGUUCAGAGUUGAGGGCGUGGACUA